CAUGCCAAGCUGCAGGCAUCAAAGCGUUGUUCAGUAUUUUUAUUUUAUUUCUGUAUUUAUUUUGUAAUUAGACAUUUUUUUUCAAUAUCAUGAUCUAACUUUGAGGCCAUAUUGGCCGGUAAUAGUGAUCAUUACAAAAAUAAAUGUACGUUGUCAUUUUACAAAGUUCUUGUUUCUUUUUAAUAACCAUGUUGUACUUGUUGGUAGACAAGGUCAUGGAGGAUGAACUGGCUGACUACAAUGGAGAUGAUGAGAAUGAAGGGGAGCCUGAAGCAGACAAACAAGCUGAGCUAGCUCAAAUCUAAGGGCACAGCUUGAGAAGGAUGCCGGAUAUCAGAUUGGGGAAACAGGAUCUGCUUUACAUCCACAAUGCUGUACAGGUUCAAGCAGCUCGGGGGAAAAUAAACAUCAAAUAGAAUUCACUGUAUGAAAAACUGGUUAAAAGUAGCUUCCUGGAUGACUUUCUUUAAUCUUUUAAUUUGAUAUUUUCUUAUCAUCUACUAUUUAACUCAAGUCUCAAGACUGUCGACUUGGAAAAACUGAAUACCUGGAAUUCAAACAUUGUAAUGACGUGUUGACUUUCACUUUUUGUCUAGUUUUCAGUGGUUUUAAGGUUUGAAAAGCUGCAACAAGUUUAAAGAUCUGAGUAAUUUCUGUCACAGAAUUGCUCCAUCUGGCCGCCGCUCUACAAGAUUCAACAGCACGUUGAACAAAGCCUUAACUCACUCAUAGAAAUGAUUUUGAGGUCAAGAUAUGCUAAUAAUUAUGUUAGUUCUAAAGCGCCAUUAUCAAACUGUUCGGAGCUACAUUUUCAAUCACAGCGUGUCAUAAUGUCAAACGUGUGAGUUUUAAAUUAUAAUGAAAUGGAAUUGCUGGAAAAUGCUGACACGUAGUACAUUCUUUACCUGAUCAUAGGUUAACAUUUUGACUGUCUUUGGUCUGCGGGGCUAAAUGGACUGUGCAUUAUGUCUGUAAGUCGAAGGGGGGGGGGGGGUGUCUGACAAUUGCUGUUACAUUAUGAAGGGCAUUUCCAUGGAGCGGGGAUGGCGCCUCAAGCUUUAUUUCUCCUGCACUAAUUUGGAAGCAGUUAGGCAAAUGUCAAGUAAUGUUAGCUAGAUGUCAGGUGUAAUUAUAUCCAGAUUAUUUUCUGCCUUUUGUUGUAUGCAGGUUUGUCUGCGCUCUGCUCUCUAUAGAAAAAUUGACUAAAGAGCUGCAAUUAUAGGCAGUGUUAGAAGUGUAAUCACUGUAAUUUUCAUAACACCGUGGUUAUCAUUGCAAGUAUCCCGACGCGUGCAGUGCAAAUUUCUCUUCCUAGGCUACUUUUCAUUUGCCAAUUUGAAUUUUUUUUCUUUCUUUGAGUGGUUAAAGUACAAUAGGUUUCUAACGCAGUGACAUUCAUCUGCCUGGUGUGACGAUGGGUUUGACUGCUGGUGUUAUUCAGCCCACAGAAACUUCUAUUUUCAAUUCAAGCACCUAAAAUAUCCUGUACCAUCGUUUUGUUCUGUUGAUUGUAAAGCACACGAUCUGCCUUUUGGUAGAAAGUGUGCAGCCGCCAAAUUAAUGUGGUCUUCAUUUUACACUUAAAUGCAUUAGCUUCAGUGCAGAAGCACAGACUGAAUAUAUGUGGAGGAAUGUAUGACCUGUAGUUGUUUCUCAAGCUCUGAAGCACACACAGGUAAACUAAAAGCUUCUCGGAUACAACAACAUUGUCCAUAGAUGGAGUUUGUCUACUCUAUAAUUUUCCGUCUAAAAUCAGUUACAUGAUUUCUUGAAAUGACUGAAAUAUUAAAAAAAAAAAAAAGUGUCAUUAUGAAAUUCUUGACCUAAUCAGAAGGUGCAGAGCUUGGGAAGCAACUGUUCAUUUCAAAUUCUAGAUCAAAUAGCUUUGAUCCUUUUAGCAACAUGGACUAAGAGAUGAUAGUCGAUAGGCAGCAGCACUAUCUCAUGCUUGAACAUAAGUCAACAUCACUCCUGCAGCAGCACUCCUCAAAACUAAUCAAUGCAAUUUUGCUGCCUUGUUGUCUCCCUUUUGGCCCAUCUGCAGGGAACUUACGUUACAGAUUUUUUAUUUUUUUUUGAUUGUGUUAUUAUAUUUAUGUUUUUUAUUGUUUGUUUCAGCGUCUAACUUUGCAAUCCUUGAUAACUACUGCAUUGUUUUCAGGAAGUUUUGUUUACUGAACUCAAAAGUAUGUGUAGCCUGAGAGAGAAUGUUUUAUGAUUUUUAUUAAUUAGAUUAACUUUUAUUAAAAUUUGAUUUGUUGGAA